GACGAACGCUGGCGGCGUGCCUAAUACAUGCAAGUCGAGCGAAUCGACAGGAGCUUGCUCCUGUUGGUUAGCGGCGGACGGGUGAGUAACACGUGGGCAACCUGCCUGUAAGACUGGGAUAACAUCGGGAAACCGAUGCUAAUACCGGAUAAUCCUUUCCUACACAUGUAGGAAAGCUGAAAGUCGGUUUUUAGCUGACACUUACAGAUGGGCCCGCGGCGCAUUAGCUAGUUGGUGAGGUAACGGCUCACCAAGGCUACGAUGCGUAGCCGACCUGAGAGGGUGAUCGGCCACACUGGGACUGAGACACGGCCCAGACUCCUACGGGAGGCAGCAGUAGGGAAUCUUCCACAAUGGACGAAAGUCUGAUGGAGCAACGCCGCGUGAGCGAUGAAGGCCUUCGGGUCGUAAAGCUCUGUUGUUAGGGAAGAACAAGUGCUGGAGUAACUGCCAGCACCUUGACGGUACCUAACCAGAAAGCCACGGCUAACUACGUGCCAGCCGCCGCCGUAA
rnacentral:rRNA from 1 species